UUCACACGGUGGGGCCCAUCGCCCAGGGGGAGCCCAGUCCCUCCCAGCAGACCGAACUCGGCGACUGCUACAAGAACAGCUUGAAACUCGCCCUGGAGAAUAAGCUGCAAACGGUGGCUUUUCCCUGCAUUUCCACGGGGGUCUUUGGCUAUCCCAAUGACGCUGCUGCGGAGGUGGUUCUGAACACGUUGCACAAUUGGCUAGAGGACAACAAGGACAAGGUCGAGCGGCUGGUCUUGUGUGUUUUCCUGGAAAAGGAUGAUGAGAUUUAUAAGGAGAAGCUGCCCAAGUUUUUCCCUAUCGCCUGACCCCCCCAGCCUUUCCAUGCUCCGAAGGGCAGAUCCUGGUGAGGAAACGCCGUCCGCCAAGCUCUGAAGACGCUUCCUGACGAUGCCGCUGCUUCUCUGCAGGAGGAGACGCCGCCGGGUCCUUUCCAACGGGGGG